rnacentral:rRNA from 1 species
AACGAACGCUGGCGGCAGGCCUAACACAUGCAAGUCGAGCGCCCCGCAAGGGGAGCGGCGGCCGGGUGAGUAACGCGUGGGAAUAUGCCCUUUGCUACGGAAUAGUCUCGGGAAACUGGGGGUAAUACCGUAUACGCCCUUUGGGGGAAAGAUUUAUCGGCGAAGGAUUAGCCCGCGUUGGAUUAGGUAGUUGGUGGGGUAAUGGCCUACCAAGCCGACGAUCCAUAGCUGGUUUGAGAGGAUGAUCAGCCACACUGGGACUGAGACACGGCCCAGACUCCUACGGGAGGCAGCAGUGGGGAAUCUUAGACAAUGGGGGCAACCCUGAUCUAGCCAUGCCGCGUGAGUGAUGGAGGCCUUAGGGUUGUAAAGCUCUUUCAGCUGGGAAGAUAAUGACGGUACCAGCAGAAGAAGCCCCGGCUAACUCCGUG